rnacentral:rRNA from 1 species
UCCAGACUCCUACGGGAGGCAGCAGUGGGGAAUAUUGCACAAUGGGCGCAAGCCUGAUGCAGCCAUGCCGCGUGUAUGAAGAAGGCCUUCGGGUUGUAAAGUACUUUCAGCAGUGAGGAAGGAGGUAUCGUUAAUAGCGGUAUCUUUUGACGUUAGCUGCAGAAGAAGCACCGGCUAACUCCGUGCCAGCAGCCGCGGUAAUACGGAGGGUGCGAGCGUUAAUCGGAAUUACUGGGCGUAAAGCGCAUGCAGGUGGUUUGUUAAGUCAGAUGUGAAAGCCCGGGGCUCAACCUCGGAAUUGCAUUUGAAACUGGCAGGCUAGAGUACUGUAGAGGGGGGUAGAAUUUCAGGUGUAGCGGUGAAAUGCGUAGAGAUCUGAAGGAAUACCGGUGGCGAAGGCGGCCCCCUGGACAGAUACUGACACUCAGAUGCGAAAGCGUGGGGAGCAAACAGGAUUAGAUACCCUGGUAGUCCACGCCGUAAACGAUGUCUACUUGGAGGUUGUGGCCUUGAGCCGUGGCUUUCGGAGCUAACGCGUUAAGUAGACCGCCUGGGGAGUACGGUCGCAAGAUUAAAACUCAAAUGAAUUGACGGGGGCCCGCACAAGCGGUGGAGCAUGUGGUUUAAUUCGAUGCAACGCGAAGAACCUUACCUACUCUUGACAUCCAGAGAACUUAGCAGAGAUGCUUUGGUGCCUUCGGGAACUCUGAGACAGGU